rnacentral:rRNA from 1 species
GCGUACGCUGCGGUGGCAUCCACAGUCUCCUGGGACGUAUUGGGAAAGGCGGGGGUGGAGGAGCUUUUCAGGUCGGGUUGACCUGGGUUGAUCCGCCUCCGGGGCUUUUCUGUAUGAGACCCUGCUAGUUUGUGUAUGGCCAGGGUCAGUGCAAGAAUCCUUUUUUCACUCGCCGUUACUAAGGAGCUCGAAGCGGGUGGUAUUCUUCAUCUGAAGCUAAAUAUGACUACGAAUCCGAUAGCGAACAAGUACCGUGAGGGAAAGUUGCAAAGUACUUUGAAGAGAGAGUUUAAGAGGACGUGAAACUGGUAUGGUGGAAGCAGAUAGAGAUGACGAACGAGCGUUGUAUUCAGAAUCGUAUCAUGUAUGCGGUUUGUUUUUACAGCCAAUGUGGGCUGGCGGUAUUGGUUAAAGCAAUGUGUUUGGCUUCGAUUGUGACCCUGUGGAGGGAUAAUCGCUCGAUGUGCGAUGCUUGGUAUAGCUAAUAUUAGCGCCGGUCUUGAAGUCAGUGGUCUAUCUGACCCGUCUUGAAACACGGACCAAGGAGUGUAGCGUUUACGCAAGUCUUAGAGUGUAUUGAAACUUAGAGGCAGAACGAAAGUGAAUAUAGCUGGAUCUAUUGAAUUGGGAUACGUUGUUUCUUGUGAAUGGCGUAGGACCAUGGUUUUAUCGCGACAGCUUGCUGUGCGGUGAAAAUUGAGCGUAAAUGGUGCGACCCGAAAGAUGGUGAACUAUGCCUGAGCAGGAUAAAGCCGGAGGAAACUCUGGUGGAAGUCCGAAGCGGUUCUGACGUGCAAAUCGAUCGUCUGACUUGGGUAUAGGGGCGAAAGACUAAUCGAACUAUCUAGUAGCUGGUUCCCUUUUGAAGUUUCCUCAGGGAUAGCUGAA